rnacentral:lncRNA from 1 species
UCUCUCUGUGCCCAGUUCUAUUAUCGGUACGGUGUCCUUCACAGGGUUCCGGGGAGACAAAAUCCAGUGUCACAUGGACUGCCUUCCCCUAGGAGGUCCUCAGUAAAUGUCCAGUGAUAAAGGGGGAAGCUGUGUGGCCCAGUGCAGAGAGGGUUCCUGGGCUUAAGAAACAACCUGGGGAAAGAUUGGCUUAAAGGAGGGUGUUCUCUUUCCGUGCCCAUUUGCUCCUUCCGGCAUCCUGAGGUCGCCAUGUUGAUCACCUGGGUUAGGAGGAGGGCCUGAAGCCCAGAGGGGCAGGUGACUUUCCUGCCAUCACACAGCAGAGCAGAGCGGU